AAGCAAGAAGCGAAUAAUCGCAACCAGUUUCGACCUGGUUAUAUAGGUAACCCAUCAUUACCCUUACUUA
rnacentral:tRNA from 1 species